GUGCUCACUUCGGCAGCACAUAUAUUAAAAAACUGGAAGGACACAGAAAAGAUUAGCAUGGCCCCUGUGCAAGGAUGACACACAAAUUCGUGAAGGCUUCCAUAUUUUU
rnacentral:snRNA from 1 species